rnacentral:rRNA from 1 species
GACGAACGCUGGCGGCGUGCUUAACACAUGCAAGUCGAGGGCACUUUGGGGGCAACCCUGGAGUGACCGGCGAACGGGUGCGUAACACGUGAGCGACCUUGCCUCGUGGUGGGGGAUAGCCGGCCCAACGGCCGGGUAAUACCGCAUAUGGUGCUUCUCUCGCAUGGGAGAGGUAGCAAAGCCCUGGAGCAAUCCAGUGGCGCCACGAGGGGGGCGGUCGCCGGCCGUACU